GGCUGAAGCUGUUGAGGUUUUACGAGAAACGAAAGAUAGUGUUUGUUUGAACAAAGUUGUUGCCAAUCUUGCAGAGUUCGAGAAGAAAGAUCACGAAGCGAAUGCCACCGAUUUCUUCAUCAUUGUUGCCUCUAUAGUUGAAGUUUCCUCAUUUGAAGCUGUUUAUGCAUAUGCUUUUUCCCUUCUCAAGUACAGGAAAUUGAAGAAUUAACCAGAUGUGAUAUGCUGAAAGAGGGAAGUUUUCUUCCUUGAAUGUGGUCUUUGUGAUUUGUCUUGAAGGAAUAGGGUGAUCACUGGCAAGAACCCUAUCAAGGUAGAUUUUAUGAUGUUAACAUAUCAUUAAGCAUUUUGUUACAUCAGCAAUGAUGCUUUCAUAGCAGCAUGAAAGUGUUUAAAUUUAACUGAAUGAUCUUGAUUGAUCAAUUAUGAGUUUUAAUCGAGUAAAAACUAAAUACAAUAAUCGUUAACAAAUAUUGAAAUUGGGUAAAUAAGAUCUUGAUAUUGAAGAAUUUGAAAUCACAACCCACACAGGAAAUCACCCUUCGCGUGGGGAUGGAGAUGUUUACUGCAGCGAUAUUGAAUAUGUCCACCGCUCUUUGGGUUAUGGUGCGACUUGCCCUGAAACAAUGGAAAAGAAUAAUUAAUAAUUUAACGCCAAGACAUAAAAUUAAAACGUGUGGACUCCGGUAGCUGCCCUACAAGUCUACAACUCUACAAGAAUAAUUUCUAGCCCUGUUGACUCCACUAACUAAAGAAAUUUCAAAACGUACAUAGAAUUCCACAACAAGCAAAACGUAUGGAAUUUAAUUUUUUGCCGUGUGGAACAAAAUACAAUUUAACAAAAAAGGAUAAGAAAAAUGGUAAGAUUUCUAAAAUGAGUGGAAGGUGAUUCAUAUUUUACUGAAAUGACUUGUCCUGAACAUUAAGACGAUUGAUUUUUUUUUUUUUAAUAACAUCAACUUCCAUAUCUUUCUAACCCCUAGAAUAUGCUCACGUUCAAGUCUAUCUUGAUAAUUUGAAAAAGAAAAUCAAAUCAAAUCAACACCAAAACAAUGAAAAGUAAAACUUUUGAAUUUCAACUUUAAACUUUUGUUAACCCCUAGAAUAUUCAGCGUUUUCAAAUUCUUCCGAUUGCAUAUCUUCUUCCUCCAUCAAUGCAAUAUUUGAACGAUUAUGAAAGAGUUUAAGAACAUAAAAAAUCUCCAAGGUUUAUACGGUAUAACAAAUUUAAAUUCUCAAUUACAAUAGAUAAUAAUUAAACUAAUAAUUUUUUAUGUACUUAUUUUAGUAAUUUCACCUAAGAAUAAUAUUGUAAUUAGAAAAAAAAAUCUAAUAAGUAGGGUGGUCUUAUACAAAAUCAACUGUACUGUGAUGAGUUUCCUUUUGUUAAUAAUUUUAGUCUAAUUUCAAUUGUACUGUGAUCGCUUCUCAAGGUAAGUGAAAGUUACAGAUGUGGCAAAAUAAAUAAUUAAGUUAACAAAAUGCUAACUAAUUUUCCUCAAUACCUAGGGUUGUACAAUUUCACCAACCUGGAAGAAUUGACAUUAAUGGACUGGUCUCCUCCCCAUAUAAUUAUAAUCCUUCUAGAAAGCUAUUUUUUAUUAAAUAUUUGCUUUUAAGUUAAUUUCAAUUAAAAAAUGUUUUAAGUUAUAUAUACUCUAAUGAGAUUCUGAAUUCCUUUAUUCCAAUAAUAAUGAAAACGUAUUAAAUUAGAAAUGAAAAAAUUGGUGUUGAUGAUUCAACCUAUUUGGAUAGAUUACGUGAAUAAAAUUAAAAUUUUGAUUUAAUUUUUGUUUAUUGUUAAUUCUCAGGCUAUCUUAAUUUCAAGAAUUUAGAAUGUUAAUUUGGUCAUGGAUUUCAACCCGUGAGUGUCAUAUUCUAGACUUAAUGGUAUCAUUCUUUGAUUGAGGGCAAUAACUCUCACUCCUCUUGUAAAAAAAUAUUUUCAACUAUUUUGAUGACUUAAAAAUUGAUAGAUUUAUUGUUGUCAUGACCAAAUUAUUCAUUUUAAUGAAAUAUAAUUAAUGCAUCAAAGUUACCAGGUUUAUGUUCUAUCUUAAUGCGCUUUUUUUUUUUUUUCAGUUAUAGCUUCUGCUUACGUCUGUUUCAUUUUUUUUUAAUAAAAAAACAAGGGAAGGUUUUUCCGAGUCAUCCAUUAUUUGAUUACCGUCAAUCAAGAAAACAACCAAAUUAAUUUCUCUCCAAAAUUUCCAAAAGCUAGAAAAUUUUGUUAUUUGAAAAUAACAUCAUUAAUUAUAGAGUGGAUCAAACCGCGUUAUUGUCUUUCAUAAAAUUGAUGUCUUUUUAAGAGUCAAUACUUUUUAUUUACGCAAACCAGUCGACAUCACACAUAUACUCUUUAAUUUGAUAAAUGGUUACACAAAUUUUGUUUACAAAAAUAUAUUAUUCAUGUUCUGUAUUAUUUUUUAACAUCAUAUUUUUAUUUAUUAUAAUUGUUUAAAGUUAAUUGUUAGGUUGAUAUAUAAUAAAAACAUAUAAUCGUUCUCUUACUAAACACACAUACUCAUAGUUUCUGUUCAUUUGUCAUCUCAAUCUAUCUCAUUUAUCCUUUGUUGAUAGCUCAAAACGCGUCACUGUGGAAAAUUAUAGCAAAACGACAAAUAUGGAAAAAAAUGGGAAGAAAAUUAAUGCAUGAAAGAGUUGCAGAAGACAACCAAAUAAGUCAACUAUACGCUAGUUGGGUGUAUAAAUUGUUAGAUGUGUUAUAAACAAAUAGCAUAGAGCCUUGGUUGGUUACAGAGAUAGAAAAAGUGUGUGUGUUUUUUAGAACUUAAAGAUAUAGUUAGAAUGGGUGGUUCAAAAUCAAAAAUGGUGAUAAUGUUUGUUCUGUUAUUAAUAAUAUUAGAAGGUGGGUGGAGUGAAGGAUGUUUGGAUCACGAGAGAUUUGCUCUUUUGCGACUCAAACAUUUCUUCGAUGAUACUGGUAGUUAUCUUUACAACUGGGGAGAUGGUGAGGGAGCUACUGAUUGUUGUCAGUGGGAAAGGGUUGAGUGCAGCAACACCACAGGCCGAGUGAUAGCGCUAGACCUUUUUGGCACGUAUCGGCGAGAGUACAGCUGGUAUUUGAAUGCUUCUUUGUUUACUCCCUUCCAACAACUUGAGUCACUUGAUUUACAUGGCAAAAAUAUAGCUGGUUUUGUUGAGAAUGAAGGUGCUUCGUCUAAUUCAAUUAAAUUACAUUUCGCUCUCCUAAUUUAAGUCGAAUAUCAAGACUGAGCAGCUAUAUGCAUAUUCAUUCAAUUGACAAUUUUUACAUAUUUUUUAAAAUGUUUAAUUUUGAAAUUACACCAAACAUCAUAUGUGAUCUUUGUUUUGAUUUUACUUGCAGGUCUAGAAAGAUUGAGCAACUUGAAGAGGCUUGAUUUAAGUCAUAACUUGUUCAACAAUAGCAUCUUAUCAUCUGUGGCUCAUCUUUCAUCACUAACAUCAUUAGAUUUAUCUGAAAAUAGAUUGGAAGGAAGUAUUAAUGUUAAAGGUACGUAAUUAAAACGUCAUCGCUUUUCCCAACUCUUUCAUUAACAUGUUAAAAUAAGAUUCAAGGCUUUGAAUUCAAUUUUUUUUAUGAGUAAAUAUUAGAAAAAUAGUUUUAAGCAAUUCAUAAAUACAAUUUUCAAUGUUUCUCAUAAUUACUCUAACUGUGAAGCAAAUACCCCAUGACUAAUUUAUCAUUUUGUCCAGUUAAAAAUGAUAAAAUUUAUCAUUUGUUUAUAUUGAUUUAUUAACUCUAUUUUAAGUCUUAAGUCUUGGCGUCUUGGCAUGUUUGCAGAAUUUGAUUCCUUGAGCAACUUAGAGGAGUUGGACAUGAGCUACAAUGAAAUAGACAAUUUCGAGGUUCCUCAAGGUAAACAAUUAAAAUAUUAUUUAAUUACAUUAAUUUAAUUCGUUUGAUUAGGGAAGACCUAAAAUGUACAAAAACAUAAUUAAAAAAAAAUAAAGAAACAGAGAAUUCAUAUUAUUUCAAAAAACAAAAGGUAAUACUAUUAUUUCAAAAAAAGAAUGUAAUAAAGAUUUGAUUCCGGUUCUUUAAUCUUUAUAGCAAUUGAACAACAAUGUUGCUCUUUUCCUAAAGCAUAAAAUAUGAAAUGAGUCAUAAUUGAAUUAGUCAUUUAUUUUGUUUAGAUCUAAAUUUAGACAAUAAAUUUUGAUUUUUUUUUCAAUCCUAUCCUUAUUAUUAUUGUUAAACAGGUUACAGAGGUUUGAGGAAGUUGAAAAGCCUCUAUCUAUCGAAUGUUGGAGUUAGAGAUGGAAGCAAGUUGUUACAGUCAAUGGGAUCAUUCCCAUCCCUCAACACUCUUUACCUGAAGGAUAAUAAUUUUACCGAUAUAGCGACAACUACUACUCAAGGUAAGUAAAAGGUACAUAUGUGGCCAAAUUUAUAAAUAAAUUGUUAAUUAAUUAAUUUUUCCGUAUUAUUAAUAAAGCUAAAUUCGUCGCUCCUUCCUUCUAAUUCUAAACAGAGUUGGCAAUUUCACCAACUUGGAGUAUUUGACAUUGGACUUGUCCUCACUCCAUUUAAGCCUUCUGCAAUUGCUUGAAGAAUGAAUUUAUUUAUUUAUUUAUUAUUAUUAUUGUUGUUGUUGUUGUUGUUGUUGUUGAAGUGAGGUGGGCAAGCGUUCACUCAAUUAAUAUGUGAGGAAUUAAUAAUUACAAUCCAAGGUAGAAUUGUGGAAAAUUAAAGCAAAAUGAGAAAUAUGGAAAGAAAGGAAGAAAGUUAAGGGCAUGAAAGACUAGGAGAAGACUAAAGACCACCAAAUAAGUCAACUGAAAACUAGCUGGGGCCUGGGUGUACAAAUUGUUAGAUGUGUUUGUUAUAAAUAACAUAGAGCCAUCUUGUUGGUUGCAGAGGCAGAGAGACACAGAGUGUGCAUUUUAUUAAUUAAAAAUAUAUAUAAAAUGGGUGGUUCAAAAUCCAAAAUGGUGAUAAUGUUAGUUUUGUUAGUAUUAAUAAUAUUAGAAGGGAGGUGGCGUGAGGGAUGUUUGGUGCAUGAGAGAUUUGGUCUUUCGAGACUUAAAACAUUUCUUCAAUUCUCCUUAUAAUUUUUGUCACGACUGACCGUUGUCAAUAGAAUGGGGCUGGGUGCAGGGUUGAUUUACGUUAGAACAAUAUAGCCGGUAGUGUUGAGAAUGAAGGUGUUUCAUUUAAUUUAAUUAAUUUACUUUCUCCCUCCUAAUUUAAGUGGAAUAUCAAGACAGAACAAUUAUAUGCAUCUUCGUUCAGUUGACAAUUUUGACAUAUUUUUUUAAGUGAUUAAUUUUGAAAUUACACCAAACAUUAUUUGUGAUCUCUGUUUUGACUUUACUUGCAGCGCUAGAGACGUUAUCAAGAUUGAGCAACUUGACGAUACUUGAUUUAAGUUAUAACUUGUUCAAUAAUAGCAUCUUGUCAUUUGUUGCCCGUCUUUCAUCAUUAACAUCAUUAGAUUUAUCUUACAAUGGAUUGGAAGGAAGUAUUAAUGUUAAAGGUACGUAAUUAAAACGUCAUCGCUUCUCCCAACUCUUCCAUUAACAUGCUAAAAUAAGAUUCAAGGCUUUGAAUUCAAUUUUUUUUUAUGAGUAAUAUUAGAAAAAUAGUUUUAAGCAAUUCAUAAAUACAAUUUUCAAUGUUUCUCAUAAUUUCAUCUUGUACUUUUGUAUGUCUUGACUUUAAGAUUAAAAAAAAAUUACUCUAACUGUGAAGCAAAUACCCCAUGACUAAUUUACAAUUUUGUCCAGUUAAAAAUGAUAAAAUUUAGGGAAAUUAUCAUUUGUAUACCCUUAGUUUACUCUAUUAUCAAAAAUACUACAACACUUUGAGGGUGUAUCAAUCGUCCACCCUAAGUUGACAAAAUGUAUUAGCCAACCACCAAACCGUUAGUUGCCGUUUAAAUAUGAUAACAUCAUAAGGGUAAUCUGGUCUUUUCAUAUGAUACAAGUGAUAAUUUAAGGGUAUACAAGUGAUAAAAAGAGAGUUUAAGGGGAUACAAGUGAUAAUUUUCAAGGGUAAAAUCGUCAAUUUACUGUAAUUCUGUUAACUUUCAAACGGCAAUUAACAGUUUGGUGGUCGGUUGAUACAUUUCAUCAACUUAGGGUGGACGAUUGAUACACCCUUAAAGUGUUGUAGUAUUUUUGAUAAUAAAGCAAAUAUAGGGUAUAUGAAUGAUAAUUUCCCUAAAAUUUAUCAUUUGUUUAUAUUGAUUUAUUAACUCUAUUUUAAGUCUUAAGUCUUAAGUCUUGGCAUGUUUGCAGAAUUUGAUUCCUUGAGCAACUUAGAGGAGUUGGACAUGAGCGGCAAUGAAAUAGACAAUUUCAAGGUUCCUCAAGGUAAACAAUUAAAAUAUUAUUUAAUUACAUUAAUUUAAUUCGUUUGAUUAGGGAAGACCCAAAAUGUACAAAAACAUAAUUAAAAAAAAAUAAAGAAACAGAGAAUUCAUAUUAUUUCAAAAAACAAAAGGUAAUACUAUUAUUUCAAAAAAAGAAUGUAAUAAAGAUUUGAUUCCGGUUCUUUAAUCUUUAUAGCAAUUGAAAAACAAUGUUGCUCUUUUCCUAAAGCAUAAAAUAUGAAAUGAGUCAUAAUUGAAUUAGUCAUUUAUUUUGUUUAGAUCUAAAUUUAGACAAUAAAUUUUGAUUUUUUUUUCAAUUCUAUCCUUAUUAUUAUUGUUAAACAGGUUACAGAGGUUUGAGGAAGUUGAAAAGCCUCUAUCUAUCGAAUGUUGGAGUUAGAGAUGGAAGCAAGUUGUUACAGUCAAUGGGAUCAUUCCCAUCCCUCAACACUCUUUACCUGAAGGAUAAUAAUUUUACCGAUAUAGCGACAACUACUACUCAAGGUAAGUAAAAGGUACAGAUGUGGCCAAAUUUAUAAAUAAACUGUUAAUUAAUUAAUUUUCUGUAUUAUUAAUAAAGCUAAAUUUUUGCUCAUUCCCUCUAAUUCUAAACAGAGUUGCACAAUUUCACCAACUUGGAAUAUUUGACAUUGCACGGUUCCUCUCUUCAUAUAAGCCUUCUGCAAAGCAUUGCAUCAAUAUUCCCUUCGUUAAAAAAUCUGUCGAUAUCUUAUUGUGAAGUCAAUGGUGUCGUACAUGGUCAAGGUAAAAGAAAAGUGUUGGUUGUGCACUCACUGAGUGUUGUCCUACGUAUUCAAUAUUUUUAUUUAUUUAUUUUAUUGUUUAAUGUUUCUGCUAGGUUUUCCUCAUUUCAAGAGUUUGGAACAUUUGGGCAUGAUGUCCACGCGCAUUGCACUCAACACCAACUUUCUUCAAGUCAUCAGUGAAUCGAUGCCUUCUCUUAAGUACUUAUCACUGUCAUAUUCUACUCUUGGCACUAACAGCAGCAGGAUUCUUGAUCGAGGUUAAUCAGAUGCUCCCACCCUCCAUUCUUAAUCUAUAAUAUUAAUUUUCAGUUAAAUAUUUAAUUACACAAACGAAUCACUUAUUAUAAAAGAACAAUACGCAUUCAUUAAUUUUUAUAUUAUAUUAAUUGAUGAAUUUAAUAAAUUCCAGGCCUCUGUUCGCCGGUGCAUCUGCAAGAGUUAUACAUUGGUUCUAACGAUUUAAGAGGUAGCUUGCCUUGGUGCAUGACAAAUUUGACAUCCCUCCGAAUAUUAGAUGUUUCUUCCAAUCAACUUACUGGAAGCAUCUCCUCGUCUCCCCUCAUUCAUUUGACAUCCAUUGAAAAGCUGUAUCUUUCAAACAAUCACUUCCAGAUCCCAAUUUCACUUGAACCACUUUUCAAUCAUUCAAGACUCAAGACUUUUUAUGCUGACAACAACGAACUAAAUGCAGAAAUAACUCAGUCACAUUCUUUGACCGCCCCAAACUUCCAAUUAUCACGUCUCUCAUUGUCUUCCGGUUAUGAAGAUGGCGUCACAUUCCCCAAAUUCCUUUACCAUCAACAUGAUCUGGAGACUGUUGAGCUCUCACAUAUAAAGAUGAAUGGAGAAUUUCCAACUUGGUUGUUGGAAAACAACACAAAAUUGAGACAACUUUCUCUCGUCAAUGAUUCUCUUGGAGGACCUUUCCGGUUGCCAAUUCAUUCACACAAGCGGUUAGGAAUGUUGGAUAUAUCCAACAACAACUUCCGAGGCCACAUUCCAAUAGAAAUUGGAGAUGUUUUACCAAGUCUAUACCUUUUCAACAAUUCCAUGAAUGCUUUAGACGGUAGCAUUCCCUCUUCACUUGGUAAUAUGAAAUUCCUCCAAAUUCUGGACUUAUCCAACAAUCACUUGACUGGUGAAAUCCCCGAGCACUUGGCCGUUGGUUGCGUCAACUUGCAGUCUCUUGCAUUAUCAAAUAACAACCUACAAGGUCACAUGUUCUCUAGAAAUUUUAACUUGAUAAACUUGAAAUGGUUACAAUUGGAGGGCAAUCGCUUCAUAGGUGAGAUCCCACAAAGUUUGUCUAAAUGCUCCUCACUAGAAGGAUUGUAUCUUAACAAUAAUAGUCUUUCGGGUAAGAUUCCACGAUGGUUGGGUAAUCUCACAUGGUUACAAUAUAUUAUAAUGCCCAAUAAUCAUCUUGAAGGCCCUAUUCCAGUGGAGUUUUGUCAGCUUGAUUUGCUUCAGAUUUUGGACAUUUCAGACAACAACAUAUCUGGAAGUUUACCAUCUUGUUUCCAUCCUCUCUCUAUCAAACAAGUUCAUCUUUCAAAAAAUAUGUUACAUGGACAGCUAAAAAGAGGUACAUUCUUUAAUUGCUCUUCCCUUGUGAUAUUAGAUCUUAGCUAUAAUCGCUUGAAUGGCAGCAUUCCGGAUUGGGUUGAUGGGCUUUCUCAGUUAAGCCACCUUAUCUUAGGUCAUAAUAAUCUUGAAGGUGAAGUGCUAGUUCAAUUGUGCGAAUUGAACCAACUACAAUUGUUAGAUCUUUCUAAUAAUAAUCUUCACGGUCCUAUUCCUCCUUGCUUUGAUAACACCACACUUUAUGAAAGUUACAGCAAUAGUUCUAGUCUUGAUGAGCAAUUUGAAAUAUUUUUUUCCAUCGAAAGCCCUCAGGGAAAUGUAGAAAAGCAAAUCCAUGAAAUUUUUGAGUUCACAACAAAGAACAUUGUGUACAUUUACCAAGGAAAAGUGCUUAGCCUCCUAUCAGGACUUGAUCUUUCUUGCAACAAGCUAAUUGGUCCUAUUCCUCCUCAAAUUGGAAAUUUGACAAGGAUUCAAACAUUGAAUCUAUCACACAACGACUUGAUAGGAUUGAUCCCAUCAACAUUUUCAAACUUGAAGCAUGUCGAAAGUUUGGAUCUUUCCAACAACAAAUUGAAUGGGAAAAUCCCUCAUCAACUAGUGGAGUUAAAGACAUUGGAGGUUUUCAGUGUGGCAUACAAUAACUUAUCAGGCGAAAUUCCAGAAUGGACUGCACAAUUUGCAACCUUCAAUGAGAGUAGCUAUGAGGGAAAUACUUUUCUUUGUGGAUUGCCAUUGCCCAUUUGCAGAUCACCAGCAACUAUGUCGGAGGCUUCAAUUGGCAAUGAACGAGAUGAUAAUUUAAUUGAAAUGGACAGUUUCUUUAUCACAUUUACAACAUCGUACGUAAUUGUGAUAUUUGCAAUUGUUAUUAUUUUAUAUGUAAAUUCUUAUUGGCGACGUAGAUGGUUUUACUUUGUUGAAAUGUGGAUAACUUCAUCUUACUAUUUUGUUGUAGACAAUCUUAUUCCAACAAGAUUUUAUCAUUGAAAUUAAUUAGUAGUUUAAUUACGAUUCUUUAAGUACUAAUCAAGUUUGUUUAGGAAAUAUUUUUUUAUUAAAAUUGUAGUAGUAUUUAGCAUUAUAUAGCUUCCAACUUCCAAGCACUUCACAUUUGUCUCUACACUUAAAAAACUGAGUGAUCAUGUUUUGCAGAUCUGGAUUUGGAGCAGGAUGGAUCCAAACCCAUAUCUGUCCACCGUAACUUAUAGCUUCCCUAUACUGUGCAGCAUACUUAACUAAGAGAACCAUCUCCAAUGUUAAAAGCAUUCACUCUAUAACAUUCAUUUAGAAACUAUAUUCAGAAUAAUUUUAUAAUUAAACACAAGAAAUGAAACACACAGAUACACUUGAUCGCCUAUUUUACUCUAAAAAAGAACGAUUAUUGUGCUAUCAUCAUCUUCUUCACUAGCAACAUUAACACCAAAUCGAUGGACCCAUACAUUUCAUCAAGAAAGGUCUAUAUCCAAUAAAGUUGAAGCCUAACAAAAAAUUCAAGAAGAUUCAUGCCUCGCCACAACAAGGGGCACAACAACAUCAAAGUAGAGAUUAAGCAGUAUUCUCAAAGCUAAAACUCUCAAAUCCACCCACCAGAAUUUCAUAGCUCCUCAACAAUUUUAAGAACUAAAGAUAAUUAGGAUUUAACAUUAGUUUUUUAUAUAUUAGUUUCAUAAUUUACAAAUCAAUGAAGAUGAAGAUUAUGCUAAUAAAUUCAAAUUAUACCAUACAUUCUCUAGAUGUUACCAAAAAUUUCUAAGUCAAUCCCACAUAUUUCAUAAUUUUAAGACUAGAAAAUUUCACUAGUUAGAAGUUUCAUUACCUUCAAGUGGAAGAUGAAGAACAUUAUACAAGUGAUUCAGAUUAUAUCAUACAUACUCCAAAUGCAACUAGAAAUUAACAAGUUCAUGCACACAUAUUUCAUAACAUUAUGAUUGAAAAGUUUCACAGAGAAAUUCUAAAUUCAAUCUCUUGCAUGAAGGCAAUUUGAUUGAUUUGAGUUACUUUCUUAUCAAGCUACUAAUAUAACAUUCAAGUCAGGGAGAAAAUAAAUUAAAACUGGGAAGAAAUAACAGUAAAAAUUUGUUGCUCAACAUGAUGUGUAUUUUUUUUCAAGGCAAUUUGGAAACACAAUUGUUACCACAGAUAUUCUUCUCAACUUGGAGAUAAAUACAAAUAUUAAAAUGCAUAUGAUCGCACAUACUACUUCGAGUUUAGUAAGAUUUCAUUAAAAGAAGCAAUCAAACCACUUAUCAAUUGUCGCAGUCGUUCUAUAAACUAAAAUAGCAAUAUAAUACAAGAAAAAGAACAUAUAGAUACUUGGCAAGAGUUCAUUAAGAAGUCACAUCACAUUCAGGUGAGGAGUUUGCUUCUGAUAUCUUGCUAGCUGGGGCUUUUUCUUGUCUUUCUACGUAUGCCGAGGGAAACCAACCAGCUUGGCCCUUGCAUUCACCUUCCGACCAUCCAAUAGGAGCCACCUUGAGAAGUUAUAACUAAAAUGGUGAAUUAAACAAAAGUUGACCGUUCAAAGACCUAAGGGGAAAACUAAUUCUUUUACGUAGGAGGAGUGAAUUAGUUGUGAUCACUGAAAUAACAGCAUAACUAUGGAAGCAUAACAAGAUAUAAAUUCACACGUCUAUAAGGGUAAACUGGGUGGUUGAGAACUGAGCUAGCAACCCUACUAUAUUCUGAUUUGCACUUCAAUGUAAAAGGGAAUAUAUGGUAGGAAGAAAGAAAACCAACCAUCAUUUGUUAACUCAUUGCUUUUCAAUCAAAAUUUUAAGAACAAAAUGCCAUGUGCUUUGAACAUCAAAUAAGUAUAAGCAUUAGUUCUAAAUUCCACAUAUCAUAAGUUGUUAGAAGGAUAAGUUAAUAGCAGAGUAGAAAAAUCUAUGUGUUGGUAUUUAGAGGGGAAAGUACCUGGCGAACCACAACAUAAUCAUCAAUUGAAAGACUUAGCUCUCCAUUUGCUUGAGCAUCAAAUGGAUGUAUAACCUGCAAGAUAAUGGGAUAAAUAGAACUUAAAAAAAGCAUAACAAAAGCGGCAACAGUAGCAGCAACGUUCAUUGUAACCACUAUGAUCAUGGCCAACAAAGAUAUAUUAGAAACAAAAUUCCAUUUUUACUACGACAUUAAUAUGUACUAUACGAUAUCAUGACGAUUGGGUUACUAAGAGCUAUCAAAGUCUAAUAAGUUCUGUAUAACUUUAUGUAGUUAUUUAAAUUAUGGAUCAGAUUUUAAAUUUGAAAUUUUGACUGCUCUCCACAAAACAUGGCCUAUGCACAAGAAAGUCAUAGAUAAUGAGGAUUACAAGUGUCCGACAUCUUUUGAGUGAUGGAUUUAACAUGAGAGCUUAUGGUCAGUCAAUUUCCUCUGCCUAGCAAUAUAAGCUUUCUCGGCCAGAUUUAUCAUCAAAUACAUAGAUUGCCCCCAAGUCACAUCCAUAUAAACAUAGUUUUUCUAGGUAAACCAAGUAAGGAGUAUCAUAAUUCAGACAUAAUCAUAAAAAGGCCCAUCUAACUUAAGAGAAAAUCUCAAAAAGAGGGAUGCUGAGCUAUCAGUCUUGUAUCUAUAAGCAAUAUCAAGACUUUACGUCACCUGCUACAUCGUGAGUGGCUACACAACUUUCAGUGGUUUGUCUUUCUUUGGCACGCCUAACUCAGCUUCGAUGUUGCUGAGAUAUUGAUAGUAGAGACACAUGAUACUUCUAGCUCAUGCAUUCUAUCUAACUCAUCCAACAACUAUCUCUUUUUUAAUUCAUUAGUGUUUGCUAAACCUCAUGCUUAAAAGUCCUGUUCUCCUAAACAAAGUUUCCUAAGAAUGACUUCCUUAGCACCACAGUUGGACACUUUUAGAGCAAUUUUAUUUGGGGGAAAAGAAUUUUCAAGGUGUUAACUAAUAAAUUUUAAAAAAUAAUUACAAUUUGUCCUACAAUCAUAUGACAAUUUAUCUGGGAUGAAAGGAUACAGAUAGACAUCUUCCACUUUCAAGACUAAUCACUACUUCCGUAGAUGUUGUGCAAUAAUACAAAUACUUGACCAGAUGGUAGAAAAAAAUUUUAUUGCUCCAAAAUUAAAAUAAGAAUGCAAUAUGUUAAGCAAAAGGCUGUGCAACAUCAAAUUAAUUGAUAAGUUUGUAAUUCAGUAAAUUAACAACUUUCAUGGUAAAAUACAACAAAUUUCUUUUGAAAAAAAAUAAAUAAAUCUUAAAAGACAACAUUCAAUUUUGUGCACAUCUUAUUUCUUAAGAUUUUUCAGGAGGAGGGCAAUAGAGGGACUUUCACCUAUGCAAGAGAGCAGAAGCCUUACUUUCCCUAUAAAGUAGACGUCAUUCUGAUUAAUAUGCGUUUGCAAAUCAGCUCCGUUUGAAUCAGUAUUCUGAUAGACACACGAGGCAUUUACAUCCAUUUCCAAAGUCACAUGUUGCGAGGAGGACUCAUUUGAUUGCUCCUAUACGAUCAUCUAAUUCAAGUAGUCACAAUUAUUCUUUUGCAUAAGUGAGACGAAAAUGAUAAAUGCAAUAUUAUCAGCAGUAAACAAGAAGAGAACGCUCCAAGAAAUAGAUAGAUGCAGACAAGCAAGUUAAAAUGCAUAGUCCCAAACCUCCGCAUACAACUUCUCUAAAAUAGCAAUAACGUGUUGAUGCUAUGUUUUCUCAGCAUCUACCUGCAAAGGCCCGAGACCAGGAAAACAACAAUAAAACCACUAGCUGAAGGAGAAAGCAAAGAAAGAAAUACACUUGACAUAAAUCUUGACAAGAAGCACAAAUUAAGACAUAACAAACCCCAAUCAUAUUGUUUAGAACUACCAUUCGUUAUUUCGUUAUUGUAACAUUUCGAACAAGUGUUGACUUAAUUCAACAUUGUUGGAAAGAUAGGCUUUUAGAAGCAGAAGAAAGCCUCUCAAACCAAAGUGCUGGUCCUUGUAUUGAUCAAGGGAUGUAAACAUAUUACAUUUGCAGGAUGAGAUUUAAUCACUCCCCUGAUUUAUUCGGGUUGCAGUAAAACUAAGCGAGCAACUGUUUGACUUUCAAGCAACAGCUAAAUCAGCUAUUAAAAUUCAAAUAAAAUCAUAAUAGAAUAAUAACAGGCCAUCUUGCAUCAAAAAUUAAGUUUAAUUUGUGAAUUGUUUUCUAUAGACAUGUCAGUUUCUGCUAUUGAAAUGUUAAAAGCAUUGAAAAAUUAUUCAAUAAAUUAUGCAAGCAUUAAAAUAGAGGACAUAUUAAAAAGUUUCUAAUUACAAUGUUAAGAUUUCCUAUAUUUUAGCAUUUGCAUAUUUUAAUUUAUUUAAAAGCUACGUAGAUCAACUUUGGGCAUGAAGAUUUUAGCUUCUACGAGACUUGAUUGGAAUAUGCAUAAGGAAGUGUGUUAAAAUAUGAUGCAUCCAACGAAAGACAAACCACGUGUAGUCUUUUAAUUAAGCCAAAGUAGCAGCUCAAACAAAUGACACUUGGACCAACAUGCAAUCAUGAAGUGGCCGGAAAAAGGACAAAUGCAACUUUGGCUUAAAUAAAAAAUAACAUGUGACUCGACUUUUGCUGGACAUGCAUCAUGUUAUUACAAGACAACAAAAAUCAGUAUGAUAGUACUAAAAGUUGACAAUAACAUGAAGAUAAGAGGCAGAAUGUCAACACAUGCAUAGGCACACACAAGAAAGUAUUAACGUAUAUACCAUAGCAAAAAGUAUUUGAUAUGUCAUCUGUUGCUGCUGUGAUUCAACUGACAGCAUGGCAGCUGUUGCUUCUCUACCAAGAGCCAUUAUUGUAGAUUUAAGCUCGGUCAAUCUUGCUUCUGCAUUUCGAAGCUUCACAGCACUCUCUGCUGAUAUAUCAGAUUCCCUAAUCUUUGAUCGGUGCCUAAAUACUUCAGCUGCCUGGUGAAAAUAUUCAAUAUAAAUCUAAUAUAAUUCUCAUCUUGCCUUAUGCAUGCAUAUGUUACCUCAAAGCUUACCUGGGCUUCAACUUCAUGUCGAAGUUUGUCAUAACGAUGAGUCAGGUGUCGAGCAUCUUCCAAAGGUGCUCCGUUGAUUAACGCCCGUAGUGGCUCAGAUACCUACAUGUCCAAAAACCUGUAACAUAGUUAGAAAAAUGAAAAGAAAGAGCGAAACCUCAAUUAAAAAGUUCCUCCAACAUAAUCAUGGAAUUUGGGCCUACUUCAAGGAUAUAUAUAUAAGGAUAAUUUAUGCAAUUUUGGGUCUUAGGAUGAUUCAUAUUAGGUUAGUGUUCUUCUCUUCUGUAUUUAAGGUUAAAAUAGAAAUAAACCUAUGAAAAUAUCUAAAUUAGGGCUGUAAGACUUCCACAUGCAUCCUUCAGUCUCAUGGAUUUGAUUUCACUAUAGAUGCAAGUGUCUUUAUUGAAAAUGCUCGGAGUCAAUUGAGAGAACUCACGGCCAAUAACUUGUCACACGCUAGUCUUUGCUAGUGAUGUAAGAAGUCACAAGGUCUCUUCAACAUUUGAACCAAUAAAAUUAUUAAGUCAUGGAUGUCACUAGCAAUGAUUUUAAUAUAAAACAUUAAAUAUUUCAGAGUUGAAACUUUAAAAUGGAUUCUUUUAUUCAAUAUCUUAGAACUAAGUUUCCUUAUGAGAAGAUAAUAGUUUCCGUAGCAAUUUACAUAGAAUUUUCUAUAUUUGAAUUAUUUUCUAGUUAGGGAUGAACUAACCUGAUCACGAAGAAUCCCAAGCAAAGUUUCCCUCUCAUUUUCCAUCAAAUCAUGUGAAGUGCCAAAUUGAAGAGCAGCUCUUGCAACGCAAGAAUUGUCACUUUGAUUCUCCACUCCAUACUUGCAACAAUCUUCGGCCAACUUUCUCGCUACAAUAUUUGAAUACAAAAAUAUUGUACACAAGAACUAGUCAAGAAAAUUAAAAAAAAAAUCAAAUAUUAUAACGAGAGCAAGAGCAAACGAACAACCUAUUUCCAUUUGUUUCAAGCUUACUGCAACAAACACUUCAACGCCACGGACAACAUUCCUCUGACAAUAUUCCAAAUUAUUGUUCAGAUAAAACCAUAGAAACCAUCAUAAUUGUUCAACAUACAUUAAGCUAAAGGAGGAUGGUGCCUUAGCUGCCCUGGUGGAAUUGUAUAGAUUUUGAAGUUGUUGGUGACACUCAAUUUCAGAUUCAUCAACCGCAACAUUUUCAAUACCAAGAUGGAGCAGAUGCUUCAAUACUGCCUGUACAAAUCAUAAAAAACUAAUGAAAAAUAAAUAAAAUCGAGAAAUUUCACUAACUAAAAGUCUAAAUAUAAUUUUUUAAAAAAGAAAAGAAACGGACUUGCUGCUGCUUGGCGACUUGUUCUCGGAGCUUGAUUGCCUGUUUCUUGAUAGCUUCCAUACUGUUUCUUUCAAAAAGCGACGACGGCUCAGCUCAUGGAGGUGGAAAAAAAAAGUGUGAUCGGGAAAAAUAAAAAGGCAUGAAUAAUUUUUGAAAAAAAGCGAAAAUCAAGGAAAGCCAGCUCUUUCCAGAAAAUAAAAAAAGAAAAAAGAAAAAAGAAAAUUAUAAGUUUGAAAGGAGAAGAUGAUUGUGGAAGUGUGCGGUGUGGCUGACAGCUACUUGGAUUGUAUUGUCGGGUAAGGUAAUAGUAGAGAAUUUUUUUUUUUUAAGAAAAAUAGUAGAGAAUUUUUUAAGAAGCUAGAACAGAGCAUGACAUUAGACUUUUGUUGACCAAAGGAUGUUGUUUUAUUCUUCUUAUACUUUACGUUUGGUUUGGUUUUUCAAACUAAAUAAUCAAGUAGCAAAAAUACAAAUUUAGAGAUUAGGGGGUGAACUAGCUAGGUGGUUUACAAAUAUUCCUAUUUGUAAGGUGAAUUAAUUGAAUCAUGAGAAAACAAUGUGACCAUAGCUCAAUAUGAGAUGAUUUCGGAGAGGCAUAUUGUUUUCAAGUGAAUUUGAUCCAUUAAGAGAUGAAGUGGAUUGAAGUGGAAAGUUUAAAUAACAAAUCCUUGUUCUUGAGUUUUACGACGUUGUUACUCCUUCAGGUGGCAGAUUAUGCAAGUGAAUUCAAAAACACAAUGCAUCAAUCACGGGGAUGCUACAUCAAAAGACGGGAUCAUAGUCUAUGCAUUGAACAGUUACAGUUGCUGCUACCAAUUGCCUCGGCAAAGAUCAAGAAGACUGAACGGGAAGUUAAUGCCAUCAAGGAGUUGUCUAGUGUUCUUUUCCUUAUGCUAUGAUCGGUGCUCUUGAGGCUGCCCUGAAACACAGGAAAAUACUUCGAUAUCCUCCAUUCGAUGAUGCAAAGAACCGGUUAAUGUAUGAUUACCUAAUUGACUCAGGAUCAGGUAACAACAACAACAAUUUAUUAAUAGUAAUAUCACAAACGAAGAAGAUUUCGGAGAGGGAGAUGUAAGCGUAUACUGUUUACAGGUUUGAUCCACUGGGGAUGAAGUGGUCUCAAGUGGAAAGUGAUUUAUUAAACAACAAAUCAUUGUUCUUGGGUUAUACCUCAUGAUGUCAUCAAGUGGAAGAUGAAGAUCGUUUGAUAUUGAAGAAUUUGAACAGAAAGCCCAUAGAAAGUACUUAAAUAAGCAUAUUCUUGUUGGGGUAGAAUAUUAAGAAAGGAGUUGUCUACUGUGUGUUGCGUAAUUAUGCUAUGAUCGGUGCUUUCAACAUUGCCCUGAAAACAGUGGGAAAUACUUCAUACCCUCGACAUGAUGAUGAAAAAUUGGUUACCGAUUACCUAAUUGACUCAGGUGACAACAAUCCAUUAAUAGCACAAUUUGACGUGAUGCCGUUUAGGUAUAUGGUUUUCAAGUUUGAUUCAUCAGUGAUGAAGCGGACUAAAAUUAAAAGUUUAAAUGAUAAGUCAUUGUUCUUGGGCAUAUCGUCAUUACUACUUCCAGUGAUCAAAGAUGAAGAUGAAGAUGAAAAUUGUGCGAGUUCAAGAUUACCAUCAACUCAAUUUUAUGAUUGGAGUGUCUCACCGUGACUCAGACAAAUUCUGAUUCAACCUCCUUCACCAAUGGAUUUUGAUUAGUUAUUUUGUGAUCAAGCAACUUAAUUAAACUCACAGUUUGUUAGUCUAAUUUUAGUUUUACUGUGACCACUAUUCAAGGUAAGCGAAAGUUACAGAUGUGGCAAAAUCAAUAAUUAAAUUCAUAAAAUGUUAAAAAAUAAAACUUAUAAAUGUUGCAUGACUACUUACUAAUAAAUAAAUAAGUUAGAAUGUAGUUAGUUAAUUUUACACCAUAUUAUAUAUUAUUCGAUAAUAAUAUAAAAUAAAAAUAAUUAAAAAAUAAAUAAUUGAAUAAAUAAAUAUGGCUUUCUAAACAAUAAAAAUUCUAGAGUUAAAAUUUAUAUUAUUAUUUUAUUUUUUAAAAUUGACAUUUUUCUAUUGUCUUACAUGUACAAAGAUUUUGAGAGUUGAGAAGAAUAUAUUUAAUGAAGCUUGAUAACAUUUGAUGGGAUAGCAAGUAAGGGUAAAUAAGAUAUUUUUAUUUGUUAUUUAUUUGAAUUAUAUCUAUUUGUUCAAGUUAAAAUACUAAAUAUAAAUUGGAGGUAGACAUUUUAACAGAUCAUCUAAGCUCUCAAAUCUGAAAUUUUGUGUAGAUUUAAAUUCAUAAUCCCCAAUUAUUUGAUCAGCAACUAUCAAGAACUAACCAAAUUUAUUUCUUCAUGACUUCCAAACACUAGAAAAUUUUGUUAUUUGAUAAUAAUAUCAUUAAUUAGAGUUUAUCAAACCGCAUUAUUUUCUUUCAUAAAAUUGAUGCCUAUUAGUGUCACACUUUAUUUGUAUUACCUAGCGGACAUCAACUUUUUUUUUAAUUUUUUAAAUUAAAAAGACCAUUUGAUUUUAACCCAUGUUCUUGGCCUUAGGGAAGCUGACUUUUUUUAUAGUCGAUAUGUGCUUGAACUUUGUUGUGUUAAUUAUUUCAAUCCCCGAUUAUGCAAUUUUUAAAUUAUAGCCUAACGGCGGUCUCAUCACCACGUGUGUGAUUUUCUUUUGCCAAUAGGAUCUGCAGAGAGCUUGAUCUCAUCCAAUAGCAAAAUAAACUUCCUAAUAAGUGAAGGUAUAGUAUAAAUAUUUCACCCCCAUAUUAUUUAUUAGCAGCUUGAUUAUUUUAUAUGCAUCUUUGAUUUUAAUUUUUUUUCCCAUAAUUGCUACUAUGUUCGAACUGGUCAUGAAUUAUCUAUAAGAUUUUUCAUGUUGCUUUUAGGUGCAUUGGAUUUUUUGAGUUUAGUGCAAGAGUAGAGGAAGGCAAAUUAAGAAAAAGGAUAAAGAUCUAUGAUUAGCUAUUUUGGGAUGUCUCAUAACAUAUUGAUGCUAACAUUAUACAUAUGUAUAUCUAAAUAAUGGGCUUGGAUCAAGAGCCCAUUAAUAAUCAUAGAUUAGUUUAUAUAGUUCAAAAAAUGUACCAUAAAGCAAUUUUACAAGCACUUGUUAGCCUAUGUUGAGCUUUAUUAUCAAUAGUUCAUAGUUCAUCAGUGCACUGCAAGUUUACUACUUGAAGUAAAUGUUGUGGUGCGUGCAUUCUUCAUAAGGCCAACUAUUGAAUUUAGCAUUGAAACUUACAAAAUGUAAUAGAAAGAGGUAGAUAACAGCCAUAAAACACUAAGAUUGGAAAUCAGGGCAACUAAAUACUAUUACAAGCCCUUAGAAAAGACAGCGAUCAUCCUGAAAUAUAUAUACUGAAAGUAAGAAAUGUUAAUCGCAAAGUUAUGUGCCAACAGAACUAUUGACUACUUGUCUCUAGUAGAAAGUAAAUAUUUUUAACUUCAGCCCUCUACUUUGUUCUAAGAACAAGGCAAUAUAAGGAAACAUCGGUGUCUAAAAUUUGCCGCUUGGAAUAUUUCACUGUCUAAACAUUCACUCACCACUUAUUUCAUUAAUGAAUUUUGUCUAAUUAUAUGUUGAUAAAGAUAUUAGAGUAAUAUAAUACAUUUAAGGCUUAACUUAUAUUUUUUAUUAGUAGAGUGUAGAACUUUUAAGAAAUAAAUUAUUAAAUUACUAUAACUAACAUAUUAUUUUAAAGUUAUGUUAAGGAAAAGAAUGAAACAAAAAUAAAUAAAUAAAUAAGGGUAUUCUAAAACUUUGAUCUUUUUAAAAGUAGAUUUUGACAUAGAUAAAAUAAUUUUUAUAUUUUUUAAAUCACAUACUCUAGUUAAAAUCAAAUUUGUAUUUAUAAAGUUUGUAAAUUUUUUUUUUUUUUUAGCACUGAUAUUUGAACACUAUCAAGAUAAGAAAUAGGGCACUGGUCAUGCUACAACAUUAUCAUAGCACGUAAAAAGACAAUACCAUUUAUUUUAUUGUACUAUCAUUGUUGUUAUAAUAGUAUUUUGUUAGUGGUCAAAUAUUUUUUUUUUAAGUAAAAAAAGUGAACAAUGUAAAUUAACUUUUAAUCUCUCCUAAAAUUCUAAUUCCUAGUUACGAAACAAAAUUGUUUGAAACCAUAGGUGAUAGGUGAUAGAAGUUACUAACACAAGCAAAUUUGACGGUCCAUUUUAUAAAAUUUGUUAUUUACCAUUUUACCACCUAUAUAAGGAGUGCCGCAUCGACAUAUCAACUCAUUUGCAGAUUAUUUUAAUUUUGUAAAAUUCAUUUAACCUGCACUUGGUCGCCCCUAUUCUCUGAAUGGUUAUGGCGAUAUCAUCAUUAUCGUUACUUGUACCAACGCUAAACCCUUCUUAUUCCCUUUCUCGCCUGUCAUACCCUAACAUUAUAUCCCGUGUCCACACUAAAGACAAGUAGUCAAUUCAGGCCAUCAGAUUAUAGUGGACCCACAUCAAUCCAACUGCUCACAAUGACCGACAGCCUCUCCAUCUCCAUUUCAGGUUUCCUCUUCAACUGGCUUCUGCUUCCGCUGUAUUUGCUCCAUUUCUUGGAUUCGGAGUCCGUAUUUGGUCGGUCGGUCCCGCACAGCUCCCUCUCACUCCAAUUGUCACCCAACAAGACCAAUUGCUUAAUCAAGGCACAGAACAAGAAGAGGAUGAGAAAUUGAAACAAGAAUUUGAGAAUUGGAAAUCGAAAACGUACGCAUUGACCGUGCCUUUGAGGGCAAUUACUUUUCUUGAGAAUUGAAGUUUGGUAAUGUAAUUUGUUCUCCAUCUGUGUUCCCUUUGUAGUCAUUUCAAUUAUUUGUUUGUUUGCUUUUAUUUGCACUUACGAAGUCUCAGGUAUAUCUAAGCAGGAAUGAUGCAGGGGAAAUUGAUCCCCGAGAUAAAAUAUGGGCGGCAUCACAUCGGUGGGGCACAGUGGUGAUAGCUUACAAGAAAAGUAAGUUUCGAAAGCAUAAUUUGGCUCCGAUUUUGAGGUAAUAAUUGUCUUUAAGCUCAUUUAGUUUUAUAUGAAACAAAAUCAAGACUGCCUUUCUCUUCAAUAUUUUUGAUGAUAAUAUCUUUAGAAGCAUCUCAUUGACGGGUAAUCGUGCUAUACCUUAAAGAGUCUAUAAACUCAAUGAUAUUAUCUUCUGCAAAUGGUUCAUUAAACUUCUUAGAUGUAGUUCAAUGUACAGUAAGGACAACAAGAAGCUAUGCCACUGUAGCAUGUAGUGAUGGCACUUAAUGAGUGAGUUGCUAGGAUGUGAACUAGAAAAAUUAAAUAUUGUCUCCCUCUCCCUGGGUAUGCUAGCUCAUAAGUCAGGGUUAAUAUUAGAGCUUGAGAUACUAUAACCAUGAGAAGCUAUUGACCACCAGUUAAAAUAUCCAUUAAAAUGUCUAGGGAGUUAUGAAGGUGGAGGUAUCUCCCAAUUUCUAAGGCCAUAUAAUAGACAUCAUCCAGGAUCCUAUAGAGUGCAGUUAGCCUCCUGCUUGAUGCUAAUGUCAAACAAUUAAUAAAUUUGGUCAAUGUAACUGAAACUUGCUAAUUGACGUCAGAUUGCGACUUGAGCACCUUAAAAUGGGAUAGACGAUUAGUGGCACUGAAUUCUUCUUGCCUAAGAUUGAGCAAUUGUUUUAACUACUAUCUCCUAUUGUAGGUUGAUUAUUAUGUUUUAAUUAUGUCCAUUUUGACCCAAAAAAUUACACAAUCUUGAUCUGCAUUUUGUCACUGAGCAGUGUCAAUAUCGUCUAACAACUAACUUGAUUUUGAUAUGACAAACACACGGUGUGUCUCUCAUGUCUCACCCAUGUCUCACCAUGAUGGAGAAUUUUUCUAAUGCAUGAAGUAAGCUUUGAUAUGUGGGUUAGCUUGGAGAACAUAUCUCAAAAUGAAGAAGAUGGGGAGUUAAUGGGAAGAAACAGUCCAGUAGUUUAUAAUUCUGUCGACGAGCUGUAUCUCUAACAUGGUCAAAAUUUAUGUGAAUAAGGACAGGGAAUCGUCAUUCCUCUUUUCCUUUUUAUACCGGGAUAUCUCUCAACCUUUAUAUGUUGCCCGCUGGAGAUCUCCUUCUAAUAACUAAAAUAAAAAUUUCAUCCACUCAAAUAAAUGUUGACCAAGCUUUCACAAGAAAAAGUAACGUCUUUAGUGAAGUAAUUUACAGUUCCUUAUCAUCUUCGUGUGAGUCUAUCAGUAUGAUCCAAAAACAUAAUAAAUCUUGUUAGAUCCUGUUUAUUGAUGUUUGAAUGUUGUUCAUUGUGCAAUGUAGAAAUGAUGACGUGAAGUUUCUUUGGUCAUCAAUUAGUGAGAUCUUGUUUGAAGUUGUUUUCUGAAAUGAACUGCAAAAUGGUAGUUUUUUUUUUUUUCUUGGGUGCAUUUGAUGGCUCUUUUCUCCUCAUUUUAAGCAUGUGUCUGCUUGAAAUGGGAAGGAAUAGGCUUCAGAGUUGUUAUAUAUGUUGAUAUGCUCUGGUCAUUACACAAUAUGUUCAAAUUGGAAAUUAGAAUGAGAUAUUUGUUGAUGCUUUUUGAGAGAUCUGCAUUCUAUGCACCAUAACAUGAUUAAUGAAAACGGGUUUAAGGACUGGAAAGAUCUGUGGCAGCCCAAGCUUGCAGGAAGGAUUUCAAUGGUUAAUUCUCCUAGAGAGGUUAUUGGUACAGUUUUGAAGUAUAUGGGAGUAUCAUACAAUUCAAACGACAUUGGGAGGAUUGCUGUUCAGCAGAAUCUGGCAUUACUGGGAAACCAGGUACUCUUAAAGAAACGAUAUCUGGUCAAUGCAUAUUAUUGGGUGACGGCUGAUUUUGUUUGUAAAGUGUGCCUUUUCAUACCUAUGAAUGCAUAUGUUAGUGUUGUGUUCUCCUUUCCAUAAAUAUGAAUGCAUAUGUUGGUGUUCUUUUCUGAGAUGGAUGCAAUAAAGGCUUUUUCUUCUAAAUUUAGUUGAAGAAAUGGCAAGGAAUGUGAGAUUCUAUCUCAUUAAAUUAACAAAAACCCAAAACAGUGAAAACCCAUAUUAUGUGGAUGAAUUGGCGACAUUUGGCUUGUUUCCUGAACGUGAAUUAGCAAGCAAUAGAGACUAAAAAAAUGGAGUGAUAAUAACAAGUCAUUGUCAUUUGAUGAAUGCAUUUUUAAGCAAAAAUAGGUUUGUAACUGAAUAAAUUUGUCUGGCAUGCCAAUAUCAAAAAAUUAAAUUAUGUGGUUAUGAGCUGUAAUGAAGGGGGAUUGUAGGUGCAAUCAGAUCGAUCCAAGAAAGUUCAACAAAGUUCUGGUUUGGUGUAGUGAAAUUGGUUUGUGCAACUUGAGUCUUUCAGAUGAACAAUGACGAGUUUUCAUUUAAAAAUGUUAUAAAUCUGCCAUGCAUAGUAUUCUAGUAGAAUCAUCUAUAAAUUCAAGUUAUUGAAAUUGUCUAUUUGUCCAGUUUGAGUUAAGGACGCAUGUAAUAUGAAAAAUUGUUGUCGAAUAUUGUAGGUUAGCUAAUAUUUGAUCAAUCCUAUAGGGAGGGCUUUAAGAUGUCUAACAACAUGUAGAAUGCCUCUGCUUCCCCCACAAUUUUUAUCUUAUACAAUUUUUAUCUAUAAACAGUAUUUGCCAGACCUUAACUGUUCAGAUUCCCCUUCUCGACUAUCAUACCCUACGCCCCGUCUCCGUGUCUCCGAUAAACAGUGCUCAAUUAAGGCCAUCAGAUUAUCCCGGUCCCACAUUGAUCAACGGCUCACAAUGACCGACAACCUCUGUCUCCAUUACAAGCUCCCUCUUCAACUCGCUUCUGCUUCCAUCCUACUCUUUCUCAGAUUCGGAGCCCGUAUAUGCUCGGCUGGUCCCACGAAGCUCCCUCUCACUCCAGCUGUCAACCGACAAGACCAAUUGCCUUAUCAAGACAGAGAACAAAAAGAGGAUGAGAAAUUGAAACAAGAAUUUGAGAAUUGGAAAUCGAAAACGUACUCAUUGACCGUGCCUUUGAGAGUUGUUUCUCUUCAGAAUUCAGUGCCUCAAUCUUGGGUUAAGGAUUUUAUGCGAAGUCAAGGAAAGUGAUUGAAGUUUCAGAUGAAUUUGUGUGCUAGCAUUGGUGGGAUCUUUAACAAUUUAUCUGUGCCCUUUAACAAAGUCAAGGCUAAUUCAGCUUCUUAUAUGGCUGCUGAUUUGGUUAGUGUUGGUGAUUCAUGGCUUAGUUUUGCCAUUAAAGAGAGAUUGAUUGAGCCAACGGCUGGAGCUGAAGACCAAGAUUGGUUCAAAUGCUUAAGUCACAAAUGGAAGGUAACAUCUUUAUCUUUGACCCGAUAAUUUUUAUUGUCUUACAUUGAAAUUUGGUAAUGUAAUUUGUUCUCUAUCUGUAUUACCCUUUUUAGUCGUUUUAUUUAUUUGUUUAUUUGCUUUUAUUUGCACUAACGAAGUCUCAGGUAUAUCUACGCAGGAAUGAUGCAGGAGAAAUUGAUCCUCGAUGUGAAAUAUGGGCGGCACCAUACAGGUGGGGCACAAUGGUGAUAGCCUACCAGAAAAGUAAAUUUCGAAAGCAUAAUUUGGCUCUGAUUGAGGUAAUAAUUGUCUUUAAAAUCAUUUAGUUUUAGAUCAAACAAAAUCAAGACUGCCUUUCUCUUCAAUAUUUUUAUGAUAAUAUCUUUAGAAGCAUCUUAUUGAUGGGUAAUAAUUGUAUCCCUGAGACAGUCUAUAAACUCAAUGAUAUUAUCUUCUACAAAUGGCUCAUUAAACUUUGUCGUUGUAGUCAAAUGUACACUCAGAGCAAUGACAAGCUAUGCCACUGUAGCAUGUAGUGAUGGCACUUAAUAAGUGAGUUGCUAGGAUGUGAACUAGAAAAAUUAAAUAUUGUCUCCCUGGGUAUGCUAGCUCAUAAGUCAGGGUUAAUAUUAGAACUCAAGAUACUAUAACCAUGAGAAGCUACUGACUGCCAAUUAAAAUAUCCUUUAAAAUGUCUAGGAAGUUAUGAAGGUGGAAGUAUCUUCCGAUUUCUGAGGCCACAUGGUAGAUAUCAUCCAGGAUCCUAGUACAGUGCAGUUAACCUCCUGCUUGAUGCAAUUAAUAAAUUUGGUCAAUGCCACUGAAACAUGCUAACUGACGUCGCAAUGCGACAUGAGCACUUCAAAAUGGGACAGACGGUCGGUAGCACUAAAUUUUUCUUGCCUAAGAUUGAGCAAUUGGUCUAACUACUAACCCCUUUUGUAGGUUGAUCAUUAUUUUUUCAUAUUUUCAGUUUGACGGAAAACGUUACAGAAUCUUGAUCUGAAUAUUGUCACUGAACAUUGUCAAUGUCGUUUAGCGUAGCCAAUUAACUUGAGUUUGGUAAAACAAAUACACAGUGUGUCUCAUGUCUCACAAUUCAAAUUAUCAUUUGUAAUGAUGGAGAAUUUUUCCAAUGUAUGAAGUAUGCUUUGAUACGUGGGUUACCUUGGAGAAGGUAUCUCAAAAUAAAGAAUAUGGGGAGAAAACAGUUCAGUAGUUUAUUAUUAUGUAGUCAAGUUUUGUCUCAAAAAUGGUCCAAAUUUAAAUGAAUAAGGACAGGGGAUCUUCAUUCUUUUUUCCCUUUUUUAUACCGAGAUAUCUCUCAACCUUUAUUUAAUCCCCACUGGAUAUCUGCUUCUAAUAAUUAAAAUAAAAAUUUCACCCACACAAAUAAAUACUGACCAAGCUCUAACAAUAAAAAGUAACAUCUUUAGUCAAGUGAUUUACAGUUCCUCAUCAUCUUAGUGAGACUAUCAGUAUGUUCCAAAAACAUAAUAAAACUGGUUUGUUCCUGUUUAUUGAUGUUUAAAUGUUGUUCAUUGUGACAUGUAGAAAUGAUGAGGCGAAGUUUAUUUGGUCAUCAAUUUGUAAGAUCUUGUUUGAAGUUGUUUUCUGAAAUGAACUGCCAAAUGGUGGUUUUUUUGGGGCAUUUGAUGGCUCUUUUUUCCUCAUUUUAAACAUGUGCCUGCUUGGAACAGGAAGGAUUAGGCUGCAGAGUUGUUAUAUAUUUUGACAUGCUCUAGUCAUUGCACAAUUUGUUCACACUGGAAACUAGAAUGAGAAAUUUGUUGCAUUCUAUGCACAAUAACAUGAUUAAUGAAAAUGGAUUGUAGGACUGGAAAGAUCUGUGGCAGCCUGAGCUCGCAGGACGAAUUUCAAUGGUUAAUUCUCCCUGAGAGGUUAUUGGUUUAGUUUUGAAGUAUAUGGGAGCAUCAUACAAUUCAAACGAUAUUGAUUCGCAAGUUGCUGGUGGGAAGAUUGCUGCUCAGCAGAAUCUGGCAUUACUGGCAAACCAGGUACUCUCAAAGAAAUGAUAUCUGGUCAUUGCAUGUUAUUACCUGACAACUGAUUUUGUUUGUAAAAGUCUGCUUCUUCAUACAUAUGAAUGCAUAUGUUAGUGUUUUCUUCUCCUUUUCAUACAUAUGAAUGCAUAUGUUGCUUCUUUUCCUUUCCAUACAUAUUAAUACAUAUGUUGGUGUUCUCUCCUGAGAUGGAUGCAAUAAAGGUUUUUCUGAAGAAAUGGCAAGGGAUGUGAGAUUCUGUCUCAUAAAAUUAACAAAAACCCAAAACAAUGAAAACCCAUAAUAAUGUGGUGUGGGUAAAUUGACGCCAUUUGGUUCGUUUCCUUGAUGUGAAUACGCGGGCAAUAGAGACUAACAAAAUGAAGUGACAACAAGAAGUCAGUGUCCUUUGAUGGAUGCAUUUUUAGGCAGAAAUAGGUUUGUAAUUGACCAAAUUUGUCUAGCAUGCCAAUUUCAAAAAAAUUAAAUUAUGUGGUUAUUAGCUGUAAUGAAGGGGGAUAGUAGGUCCAAUCAGGUGGAUCCAGGAAAGUUCAACAAAGUUCUGGUAUGGCGUAGAAAUUGGUUUGUGCAACUCAAGAGUCUUUCUGGUGAACGAUGAUGGGUUUUGAUUUAUAAAUGUUAUAAAUCUACUGUGCAUAGUAUUCUAGUAGAAUCAUCUAUAAGUUCUAGUUAUUGAAAUUGUCUACCUUGUUCAGUUUGAGUUAAGGGCACAUGUAAUAUGAAAAAUAGUUGUUGCAUCUUUUAGGUUACCUAACAUUUGAUCAAUCCUAUUAUGAGGGCUUCAAGAUGUCUAACAAUAUGUGGAAUGCCCAUGCUCCUCCCCAUUGUUUAUCUUUAUAUAAUAAUUUGUUUUAGAUGCUAAUAUCUUUGUCGAUACCGGUAACAAUAUUAGAAUAUCUGCGUUUAUUGGGUUUUACAUAGGUUCGACUGUUUGACAGUACACACUAUCUGAAGGCAUUUGGAAUUGGAGAUGUAUGGAUUGCUGUUGGGUGGAGUAGUGAUGUUCUUCCUGCUGUCAAACGUAUGUCUAAUGUUGCAGUUGUUGUUCCCAAGUCUGGUGCUAGCUUAUGGGCUGAUCUUUGGGUAUACCCAUGCCUGCCAUUCUACUUCAAUAUUCACAUUGUUAUCUCCUUCAUAUUAGUGAUCAGUAAACAUGAUAAUGUGACUAAUAAGUUCGUAUUCUCUUUAUAGGCAAUCCCUGCUGCCUCAAGACUUGAAACAAAACAAAUUGGACGGUGAGUCAGAGGUGCAUUUCCAUUAAUCCAUCAAUGGAUAGAAUUCUGCUUGCAAACAGCGAGAGCAUUGCCUUUCAAGCAAGAGGUUAUCCCGAGCGCAUCUCCCUCUGCCCUUGAGAGUACUCUGGUUAAGUUGCCUGAAGAACUUUUUAAGGGUAAACCAAGUCUGGAUACUAACUUAAUUGCUGGAGUACCCGACUGAAAUUAUGGCCAGAUGUGAGUUUUUGGAGCCAUUAUCUGAAGCUACAUUGUCGGAUUAUGAGUGCUGUGCUAAUCUGCAAAAAUCCACUCCUGUACUGAUCAACAAGAUGCAACAUUACAUGUCAUCAUUGAUCUUUAGCUAAAGGUACAUUGAAAAGUUAAUGGCACUGCAUACCAGUCAUUAUAAUUGGGUCAGGGCAAUUGGGUCAGGGCAAUUGGGUCAGGGCAAUUAGGUCAGAGCAUAACUUCAUUAGGAAAAGAGGCUUCAGCUACGUUAAAUAUUACAGGAUGUACUGAGAUGGCUGAAGUUGUUGACGUUGUACGAGAAACGAAAGAUGAGUGUUUGUUUGACAAAGUUGUUGCCAAUCUUGCAGAGUUCGAGAAGAAAGAUCACGAAGCAAAUGCCACCGAUUUCUUCAUCACUGUAGCCUCCAUAGUUGAAGUUUCCUCAUUUGAAGCUGUUUAUGCAUAUGCUUUUUCCCUUCUCAAGUACAGGAAAUUGAAGAAUUAACCAGAUGUGAUAUGCUGAAAGAGGGAAGUUUUCUCCCUUGAAUGUGGCCU
rnacentral:lncRNA from 1 species